rnacentral:rRNA from 1 species
GAUGAACGCUGGCGGCGUGCCUAAUACAUGCAAGUCGAGCGAACGGACGAGAAGCUUGCUUCUCUGAUGUUAGCGGCGGACGGGUGAGUAACACGUGGAUAACCUACCUAUAAGACUGGGAUAACUUCUGGAAACCGGAGCUAAUACCGGAUAAUAUUUUGAACCGCAUGGUUCAAAAGUGAAAGACGGUCUUGCUGUCACUUAUAGAUGGAUCCGCGCUGCAUUAGCUAGUUGGUAAGGUAACGGCUUACCAAGGCAACGAUGCAUAGCCGACCUGAGAGGGUGAUCGGCCACACUGGAACUGAGACACGGUCCAGACUCCUACGGGAGGCAGCAGUAGGGAAUCUUCCGCAAUGGGCGAAAGCCUGACGGAGCAACGCCGCGUGAGUGAUGAAGGUCUUCGGAUCGUAAAACUCUGUUAUUAGGGAAGAACAUAUGUGUAAGUAACUGUGCACAUCUUGACGGUACCUAAUCAGAAAGCCACGGCUAACUACGUGCCAGCAGCCGCGGUAAUACGUAGGUGGCAAGCGUUAUCCGGAAUUAUUGGGCGUAAAGCGCGCGUAGGCGGUUUUUUAGUCUGAUGUGAAAGCCCACGGCUCAACCGUGGAGGGUCAUUGGAAACUGGAAAACUUGAGUGCAGAAAAGGAAAGUGGAAUUCCAUGUGUAGCGGUGAAAUGCGCAAAGAUAUGGAGGAACACCAGUGGCGAAGGCGACUUUCUGGUCUGUAACUGACGCUGAUGUGCGAAAGCGUGGGGAUCAAACAGGAUUAGAUACCCUGGUAGUCCACGCCCUAAACGAUGAGUGCUAAGUGUUAGGGGGUUUCCGCCCCUUAGUGCUGCAGCUAACGCAUUAAGCACUCCGCCUGGGGAGUACGACCGCAAGGUUGAAACUCAAAGGAAUUGACGGGGACCCGCACAAGCGGUGGAGCAUGUGGUUUAAUUCGAAGCAACGCGAAGAACCUUACCAAAUCUUGACAUCCUUUGACAACUCUAGAGAUAGAGCUUUCCCCUUCGGGGGACAAAGUGACAGGUGGUGCAUGGUUGUCGUCAGCUCGUGUCGUGAGAUGUUGGGUUAAGUCCCGCAACGAGCGCAACCCUUAAGCUUAGUUGCCAUCAUUAAGUUGGGCACUCUAAGUUGACUGCCGGUGACAAACCGGAGGAAGGUGGGGAUGACGUCAAAUCAUCAUGCCCCUUAUGAUUUGGGCUACACACGUGCUACAAUGGACAAUACAAAGGGCAGCGAAACCGCGAGGUCAAGCAAAUCCCAUAAAGUUGUUCUCAGUUCGGAUUGUAGUCUGCAACUCGACUACAUGAAGCUGGAAUCGCUAGUAAUCGUAGAUCAGCAUGCUACGGUGAAUACGUUCCCGGGUGU